UCUGGAAGACCUUUUGACAACCAACUCUUGAUCUAAGUCAGUAUUAGAUGUAUACCCUAGAAGUUAGGUAGGCUGACACAUGUACACAUUCUAUAGAUAUAGUUUUAUAAUUAAAUUUUGAAAUAAAUAAAAUUUGGAUUAUUUUUUCAUUCAUGUUGUAUUUUAGUUGUGUCUAAGAAUCAUCCGAGGAAUUAAUAGAUAAUGAUAUG
rnacentral:lncRNA from 1 species